rnacentral:rRNA from 1 species
CUACGGGACGCAGCAGUAGGGAAUCUAGACAAUGGGGGAAACCCUGAUCUAGCCAUGCCGCGUGAGUGAUGAAGGCCUUAGGGUUGUAAAGCUCUUUCGCUGGGGAAGAUAAUGACGGUACCCAGUAAAGAAACCCCGGCUAACUCCGUGCCAGCAGCCGCGGUAAUACGGAGGGGGUUAGCGUUGUUCGGAAUUACUGGGCGUAAAGCGCGCGUAGGCGGGCUAUUAAGUCAGGGGUGAAAUCCCGGGGCGCAACCCCGGAACUGCCUUUGAUACUGGUAGUCUUGAGUUCGAGAGAGGUGAGUGGAAUUCCGAGUGUAGAGGUGAAAUUCGUAGAUAUUCGGAGGAACAUCAGUGGCGAAGGCGACUCACUGGCUCGAUACUGACGCUGAGGUGCGAAAGUGUGGGGAGCAAACAGGAUUAGAUACCCGGGUAGUC